AAUGGGCCCAAGUCGAAAAGCAUCGGCGUAAAAUGUGGAAUAUAAAACACUAUACUAAAGCCAAACUACUUCAAAGCCGUAAUACGCAUUCGAAAAAAAGAGGCUCUUCCACGAAAGUGGCUUUAAAUAUUUAGACCACGAAAGCUGGGAAACAAACUGGGAUUAGAUACCCCACUAUGCCCAGCCCUAAACAUAAGUGACUUCACACACCACUCACUUGCCUGGGGAUUACGAGCACUAGCUUAAAACCCAAAGGACUUGGCGGUGCUUCAGACCCACCUAGAGGAGCCUGUUCUAGAACCGAUAAUCCCCGUUUAACCUCACCCUCUCUUGUUAUUUCCGCCUAUAUACCGCCGUCGUCAGCUUACCCUGUGAAGGCCCAACAGUGGGCACAAUUGGCACAGCCCAAAAUGCCAGGUCGAGGUGUAGCGUAUGGGAGGGGAAGAAAUGGGCUACAUUCACUGCACCAGUGUAAACGAAAAAUAUCUUUGAAACAAGUAUUUAAAGGAGGAUUUAGCAGUAAGAAGGGAGUAGAGUGCCCCCCUGAAGCCUGGCUCUGAAGCGCGUACACACCGCCCGUCACUCUCUCCUUUGCUUUUGGGCAAAUACUAACUAAAUAAAAUCCUUGUGCAUACAGGGGAGACAAGUCGUAACAUGGUAAGUGUACUGGAAAGUGUACUUGGUUAACC
rnacentral:rRNA from 1 species